rnacentral:rRNA from 1 species
GACGAACGCUGGCGGCGUGCCUAAUACAUGCAAGUCGAACGCUUCUUUCCUCCCGAGUGCUUGCACUCAAUUGGAAAGAGGAGUGGCGGACGGGUGAGUAACACGUGGGUAACCUACCCAUCAGAGGGGGAUAACACUUGGAAACAGGUGCUAAUACCGCAUAACAGUUUAUGCCGCAUGGCAUAAGAGUGAAAGGCGCUUUCGGGUGUCGCUGAUGGAUGGACCCGCGGUGCAUUAGCUAGUUGGUGAGGUAACGGCUCACCAAGGCCACGAUGCAUUGCCGACCUGAGAGGGUGAUCGGCCACACUGGGACUGAGACACGGCCCAGACUCCUACGGGAGGCAGCAGUAGGGAAUCUUCGGCAAUGGACGAAAGUCUGACCGAGCAACGCCGCGUGAGUGAAGAAGGUUUUCGGAUCGUAAAACUCUGUUGUUAGAGAAGAACAAGGACGUUAGUAACUGAACGUCCCCUGACGGUAUCUAACCAGAAAGCCACGGCUAACUACGUG